GUAAUAUUACUCAAUUCUGCCAGCUCCAAAGGCUGUGUCAUUUGGCCUUAUAAUUGCAUUUCUGAUUAGAUGGCUCCCAGACCCUUCCAGUUUUGCUGCUCGGGAUGAUGGAGACUCCAAGGGAGCCAAGGGUGGCAGGUGGGUAGGUCGAGGACGUUGGCCAAGGCCUUUAACCAAUGAGACAGUUAGUCAGUUCCAGUUAGCCACAGCAACAAUCGCCAUCGCCAUCAUCAUCGUCAGCAGGUCGAGAAGGAGGGGUAGGCGGAACCACAGACGUUAACAACAAGCGGCACAUGCAACAAAGUGGGCCAGUUUACACCUGCAGUUAGUGUUCGGGUGAUAGGGGAAAACAGUGGCACUACACAGUUUCGCCUCUGCCAUGGCCUUCGGACGUAAUUAUUUGUAAUUUGUUUGCCCAAGUGUAGGCAAGCGGAGAUUCGGUUGUUGGUAAUUCAAACCAAUCCUAGUCCUAGUUGGUCCUGCCACUUCAUCCCCCUACAUCACUUUUGUGUCCUUUGAGUGAGGAAGUACUUGGUUAUGGUUGUUAUUGCAGCUAAUACAAUAUAGAGGCAGUGG
ensembl:ncRNA lncRNA:CR44555 long non-coding RNA:CR44555